rnacentral:rRNA from 1 species
UACGUAGGGCGCAAGCGUUAUCCGGAAUUAUUGGGCGUAAAGAGCUCGUAGGCGGUUUGUCGCGUCUGCCGUGAAAGUCCGGGGCUCAACUCCGGAUCUGCGGUGGGUACGGGCAGACUAGAGUGAUGUAGGGGAGACUGGAAUUCCUGGUGUAGCGGUGAAAUGCGCAGAUAUCAGGAGGAACACCGAUGGCGAAGGCGGUUCUCUGGGCCUUACCUGACGCUGAGGAGCGAAAGCGUGGGGAGCAAACAGG